AUCGCUCUGUAUGUGCAUCAUGUUCUUGGAUAGCUCCAGGUCCAUAGCGUCCGGCAGGAUUCUUCACCAGCUUCCCCUCCAUUUUGCCUCUGAGAGAAUGCUUGUUAGGGUUCAUGCCUGGAAUCCCUGUACUCAGAGGCUGAGGCAUUGAACUACUAUGCACUGGCCUCAGCUUUGUAAUUUCCCUAAGAAUCUACUCCACUGCCUUUUCAGUAUAUGCAAAGGU
rnacentral:lncRNA from 1 species